rnacentral:rRNA from 1 species
UUUAGGGGGAAGUAGGAUAAUCCUGUGCUGCCAAGAAAAGCAUCGACGUGAGGUUUUAGCCGCCCGUACCCGAAACCGGCACAGGUAGUCAGGUAGAGAAUACUAAGGCGAUCGAGAGAAUCGUGGUUAAGGAACUCGGCAAAAUGCCCCCGUAACUUUGGGAGAAGGGGGACCUAAACCCUGAAGGGCUUCACGUUCUAGGGGUGAGGGUCGCAGAGUCCAGGGAGAAGCGACUGUUUAUCAAAAACACAGGUCCGUGCGAAGCCGCAAGGCGAUGUAUACGGACUGACGCCUCCCCGGUGCUGGAAGGUUAAGCGGACCGGUCAGCCCACCUUGUGUGGGUGAAGCUGGGAAGUUAAGCCCCAGUAAACGGCGGUGGUAACUAUAACCAUCCUAAGGUAGCGAAAUUCCUUGUCGGGUAAGUUCCGACCUGCACGAAUGGCGUAACGACUUCUCUACUGUCUCGACCACGAACUCGGCGAAAUUGCAUUACGAGUAAAGAUGCUCGUUACGCGCAGAAGGACGGAAAGACCCCGGGACCUUUACUAUAGCUUGGUAUUGGUGUUCGGUACGGCUUGUGUAGGAUAGGUGGGAGACUGUGAAACUCAGACGCUAGUUUGGGUGGAGUCAUUGUUGAAAUACCACUCUGGCCGUGCUGCACAUCUAACCUCGGCCCGUGAUCCGGGCCAGGAACAGUGCCUGGUGGGUAGUUUAACUGGGGCGGUUGCCUCCUAAAAGGUAACGGAGGCGCUCAAAGGUUUCCUCAGCCUGGUCGGUAACCAGGUGUCGAGUGUAAGUGCACAAGGAAGCUUGACUGUGAGACUGACAGGUCGAACAGGUACGAAAGUAGGAACUAGUGAUCCGGCACUGGCUUGUGGAAGCGGUGUCGCUCAACGGAUAAAAGGUACCCCGGGGAUAACAGGCUGAUCCUGCCCAAGAGUUCAUAUCGACGGCAUGGUUUGGCACCUCGAUGUCGGCUCGUCGCAUCCUGGGGCUGGAGUAGGUCCCAAGGGUUGGGCUGUUCGCCCAUUAAAGCGGUACGCGAGCUGGGUUCAGAACGUCGUGAGACAGUUCGGUCCCUAUCCUCUGCGCGCGUUGGAGAAUUGAGAAGGGCUGUCCCUAGUACGAGAGGACCGGGACGGACGAACCACUGGUGUGCCAGUUAUCCCGCCAGGGGUAUGGCUGGUUGGCUACGUUCGGGAAGGAUAACCGCUGAAAGCAUCUAAGCGGGAAGCCUGCUUCAAGACAAAUUCUCCCUCCAACAUUUGUUGGUGAAGGCCCCCGGAAGACUACCGGGUUGAUAGACCAGACGUGGAAGAGAAGUAAUUCUUGGAGCUGACUGGUACUAAUGGCCAACCAC